rnacentral:rRNA from 1 species
CAAGUCGAGGGGCAUCGGGAGGAAGCUUGCUUUCCUUGCCGGCGACCGGCGCACGGGUGAGUAACACGUAUGCAACCUGCCCUCUUCAGGGGGACAACCUUCCGAAAGGGAGGCUAAUCCCGCGUAUAUCGGUUUCGGGCAUCCGAGAUCGAGGAAAGAUUCAUCGGAAGAGGAUGGGCAUGCGGCGCAUUAGCUAGACGGCGGGGUAACGGCCCACCGUGGCGACGAUGCGUAGGGGUUCUGAGAGGAAGGUCCCCCACACUGGUACUGAGACACGGACCACACUUAUACGGGAGGCAGCAGUGAGGAAUAUUGGUCAAUGGGCGCGAGCCUGAACCAGCCAAGUCGCGUGAGGGAAGACGGUCCUAUGGAUUGUAAACCUCUUUUGUCGGGGAGCAAAAGACGUCACGUGUGGCGUUCCGAGAGUACCCGAAGAAAAAGCAUCGGCUAACUCCGUGCCAGCAGCCGCGGUAAUACGGAGGAUGCGAGCGUUAUCCGGAUUUAUUGGGUUUAAAGGGUGCGCAGGCGGAAGAUCAAGUCAGCGGUAAAAUUGAGAGGCUCAACCUCUUCGAGCCGUUGAAACUGGUUUUCUUGAGUGAGCGAGAAGUAUGCGGAAUGCGUGGUGUAGCGGUGAAAUGCAUAGAUAUCACGCAGAACUCCGAUUGCGAAGGCAGCAUACCGGCGCUCAACUGACGCUCAUGCACGAAAGUGUGGGUAUCGAACAGGAUUAGAUACCCUGGUAGUCCACACAGUAAACGAUGAAUACUAAUUGUUCGGGGAGAAUGAUCCCUGAGUGAUACAGCGAAAGCGUUAAGUAUUCCACCUGGGGAGUACGCCGGCAACGG